rnacentral:rRNA from 1 species
UACGGAGGGGGCUAGCGUUGUUCGGAAUUACUGGGCGUAAAGCGUACGUAGGCGGUUUGCCAAGUAGGGGGUGAAAUCCCGGAGCUCAACUCCGGAAUUGCCUUCUAAACUGGCAGACUUGAGACCGAGAGAGGUAAGGGGAAUUCCGAGUGUAGAGGUGAAAUUCGUAGAUAUUCGGAAGAACACCAGUGGCGAAGGCGCCUUACUGGCUCGGUACUGACGCUGAGGUACGAAAGCGUGGGGAGCAAACAGG